rnacentral:misc_RNA from 1 species
UCUCCGUUGGUGAACCAGCGGAGGGAUCAUUACUGAGCGCAAACUCAUAACCCUUUCUGUACCUAUCUCUGUUUCUUCGUCCCCUCCCUCUCGGUCCAGCCCGCCUGUAAUAUUAGUAUUUCUUUUUCAACCCGACGAUACAUCUGAAUCCUCUUAGCGAACAGUUAAAACUUUUAACAACGGAUCUCUUGACGCUAGCAUCCAUGUAGUACGCACCAGUCCCAAAGAUCACACUCCUGAACCCCAGUCACCAUUCCUCAUCACAUAUGCCGUCCUCUC